rnacentral:rRNA from 1 species
GACGUAGGGCGCAAGCGUUGUCCGGAUUUAUUGGGCGUAAAGAGCUCGUAGGCGGCUUGUCGCGUCGACUGUGAAAUCCCGCGGCUCAACCGCGGGUCUGCAGUCGAUACGGGCAGGCUAGAGUUCGGUAGGGGAGACUGGAAUUCCUGGUGUAGCGGUGAAAUGCGUAGAUAUCCGGAGGAACACCGGUGGCGAAGGCGGCUUCCUGGACCGACACUGACGCUGAGGCGCGAAAGCCUAGGG